CCUACGGGAGGCAGCAGUGGGGAAUCUUAGACAAUGGGCGCAAGCCUGAUCUAGCGAUGCCGCGUGAGUGAUGAAGGCCUUAGGGUCGUAAAGCUCUUUCGCCAGGGAUGAUAAUGACAGUACCUGGUAAAGAAACCCCGGCUAACUCCGUGCCAGCAGCCGCGGUAAUAAUCACUA
rnacentral:rRNA from 1 species